rnacentral:rRNA from 1 species
GACAGAGGUCUCAAGCGUUAGGCGGAAUCACUGGGCUUAAAGCGUGUGUAGGCGGAUCGUUAAGUGCUUUGUGAAAUCCCACGGCUUAACCGUGGAACUGCUUGGCAUACUGGCGGUCUUGAGCCAUCUAGGGGUCGCUGGAACAAACGGUGGAGCGGUGAAAUGCGUAGAUAUCGUUUGGAACGCCAAUGGUGAAAACAGGCGACUGGGGAUGUGCUGACGCUGAGACACGAAAGCCAGGGGAGCAAACGGG